rnacentral:rRNA from 1 species
CUGAAUAGGGCGCAUAAGUAACAGGUCGUAGACCCGAAACCAGGUGAUCUACCCAUGUCCAGGAUGAAGGUAAGGUAAUACUUACUGGAGGUCCGAACCCACGCACGUUGAAAAGUGCGGGGAUGAGGUGUGGGUAGCGGAGAAAUUCCAAUCGAACUUGGAGAUAGCUGGUUCUCUCCGAAAUAGCUUUAGGGCUAGCCUCGAGGUAAAGAGUCAUGGAGGUAGAGCACUGUUUGGACUAGGGGCCCUUCUCGGGUUACCGAAUUCAGAUAAACUCCGAAUGCCAUGUACUUAUACUCGGGAGUCAGACUGCGAGUGAUAAGAUCCGUAGUCGAAAGGGAAACAGCCCAGACCACCAGUUAAGGUCCCCAAAUAUAUGUUAAGUGGAAAAGGAUGUGGGGUUGCUUAGACAACCAGGAUGUUGGCUUAGAAGCAGCCACCAUUGAAAGAGUGCGUAAUAGCUCACUGGUCGAGUGACCCCGCGCCGAAAAUGUACCGGGGCUAAACAUAUUACCGAAACUGUGGAUGAACCUCUUUAGAGGUUCGUGGUAGGAGAGCGUUCUAAGGGCGGUGAAGUCAGACCGGAAGGACUGGUGGAGCGCUUAGAAGU